AAGGGCACCACAAGAACGCGUGGAGCAUGUGGCUUAAUUUGACUCAACGCGGGAAAUCUUACCGGGUCCGGACACACUGAGGAUUGACAGGCAAUAUUAAUACGUGUUUCGGCGCGUAUUAUGUUAAAUAUGCUAGUCCUUUCAUGAUUAUGUGAUAGGUGGUGCAUGGCCGUUCUUAGUUCGUGGAGUGAUCUGUCUGCUUAAUUGCGUUUCACUAAGGGCCUAUAAUUUACGUGUGUUGCGGCACUUUGACCCCUCUCUGAGCGCGCGUCUUAGCUGCUUAGCUCGCACAAUUAGGUCCUGAAAGCAACGAACGUGACCGCAACCUCUUGUUGCCUUUAUACCAAACACGCUUGCUGCUUUUGUGGCUUUCGUGCAAAAAGGCUUUUUAAACUAGAGGGACCGCUGUUACUUUCUUAAACCAGAGGAAGGUUGCGGCAAUAACAGGUCUGUGAUGCCCUUAGAUGUUCUGGGCUGCACACGUGCUACAAUGAUUGUUGCAGUGAGCAUCUCAUUUUUACACACCGCAUGCGCGAGUCCAUUUAUUCACCUCGGUGUUUUAAAUGUGUAUUUCUGCGCGCGGUAAAGCCUGCUUCGAGAGUAAGUGGGUAAUCAAUUAGAAGUAACGAUUUCCUUUAGCACACAUAUAUACGGCGUCUAUGCCCGGGUUGCCUUGUUGCAACUUCUGUGCGUAUAGAUGUUUUUUCCGUAUGUGCGAUUGUCAAUUCAUGGUGGGGACAGACCAUUGUUAAUUGUUGGUCUCGGUCUUAACUAGGAAUGCCUUGUACGGGUCUUUGGUUCAACAAACCACCCGGAAUACGUCCCUGCCCUUUGUACACACCGCCCGUC
rnacentral:rRNA from 1 species